CCUACGGGAGGCUGCAGUGAGGAAUAUUGGUCAAUGGGCUUACGCCUGAACCAGCCAAGUCGCGUGAGGGAAGACUGCCCUAUGGGUUGUAAACCUCUUUUGUCAGGGAGCAAUUGGCGCUACGUGUAGCGUUAUCGAGAGUACCUGAAGAAAAAGCAUCGGCUAACUCCGUGCCAGCAGCCGCGGUAAUACGGAGGAUGCGAGCGUUAUCCGGAUUUAUUGGGUUUAAAGGGUGCGUAGGCGGAAUGCCAAGUCAGCGGUAAAAUCGCGGGGCUCAACCUCGCGCCGCCGUUGAAACUGGCGGUCUUGAGUGGGCGAGAAGUAUGCGGAAUGCGUGGUGUAGCGGUGAAAUGCAUAGAUAUCACGCAGAACUCCGAUUGCGAAGGCAGCAUACCGGCGCCCAACUGACGCUGAAGCACGAAAGCGUGGGUAUCGAACAGGAUUAGAUACCCGAGUAGUC
rnacentral:rRNA from 1 species